rnacentral:rRNA from 1 species
UACGUAGAGAGCAAGCGUUGUCCGGAAUCAUUGGGCGUAAAGGGUACGCAGGCGGUCUAUUAAGUCAGAGGUGAAAUCCAACAGCUCAACUGUUGAACUGCCUUUUGAUACUGGUAGACUUGAGGAUAAGAGAAGAAAACGGAAUUCCUAGUGUAGCGGUGGAAUGCGUAGAUAUUAGGAAGAAUACCGAUGGCGAAAGCAGUUUUCUAACUUAUUCCUGACGCUCAGGUACGAAAGCUAGGGUAGCAAACGGGG